rnacentral:lncRNA from 10 species
GGCCCCUCAAUACUGGAUCCAUCUUCAACAUGUGCUUGGCCAGAACCUACAUCUACCUACCCCUUGGUAGCAAAAUUUCCCAAUGCACAGACUUUUUUAAGGAGCUGAAUUAAACUUAGGUGAAUAUCCUAAACUGUCAGUUUACUGCUGAGAACAUGCUGCUUAUCAAGCCAGGCUCCCAGCAAGAGUCCAUAUCCUUGGAUUUUCAAUGACAACAAGAUAUUCCCUAUAACCCAGGAGCUACAGAUACACUGAAGAGAGGUCACAGGGAGAGAGACAGGAAACCAGCGAUGGACCCCAGUAGAAGGACAGGGUGGACGAUGCUUAGGAAGAUCAUGACGACUCUGCUUUCAUUUCCCACAUCCCUAUCCCGCCAGAGGUGAAAAUCAGAGAGGACUUAGUUGGAUGCAUUCUGGACACAAACGCUCUGAAGCUAAUAAAAUUCAAUAUAAUUGGCCCAUCCAAUUAUGUUAGAAUCUAAUAAAAUGUAGUUGUAUAUAUAUAUGACAACAGAAAUCAUCUAGACUGAGACGUCAUUAUUCCGUUUGUGAGAAAAACGAGGCUCCUGAGAUGUAAGGAUCCACCCAAACCACUCAGCAAGUUGGACACACCUGAGGCCUCAUUCCAGCACUGAGUUAAUUUUGUCAAAUCAACUGGUUUCUUGCUUUGAGCAAUUUAAAUAUAUAAAUGACUACAGUAUUGUCAAUAAGUACCAGGAAAACGCAAAAUCAUAAAGCUUAAAGAGAAAUAGAUUUGAGGAAAAUUUCCUGUUGGGAAAAUUGUAAUUAUUAAUAUACUUUAAGAAAAUUAGUUUUAUGGUUAAGAGGAUACUUUAUAAGAAUAAAAUUACUUAAAAGUCACAGUUCUGUGAAAGAUUCUGAUUCGUAACUGUUAAGACUUACUCAAAGUUAUAUUGUGGGGUAGUAAAUUAUUUGCCUGAAUUUAAAAAUUUUGAUGAAAAACCGGAAAAGGAGCAAACUUACAAAAACAAAACAACAAAUAUCAGGGAAAACUCAGGAAGCAUAAUUUGAGUUGACCUUGCCUUUGUACAGUACUGGUAUUUUGUUCCAGUGGGAUUUUAGGAAAAAAGUUUAAAAGUCAAAAAGGCAAAAGCAGAACUAAAGUUUGGCAGCAAAAAUAAUGCAUUUAAUAAACUCCAAGUAUCUUGUAUUUCUAAAGCCUAUUCCUAUUUAUUAGCCUCUUAAAACCAAAGGAACAGAAAAAAACGUCUUCCACCAAAUUAAAUGCAGCCCAGACCAACAAUUCUAUUUCAGAUUCAGCUUAAACUCUAGGACUGUCAAACCAUCUGUAAAUAAACACUGAUCAGUUAAAUGGCUUUCUUUAUACCAGUUAAGACCGUCCAUCCCUGGGAAAGUGUCAGGAACUGCUUUUAUUUCAAUUUGUAGAUAUAUAAUUUAUCAGGUUAAAAAAAAGAGUUGUUAUAAAACAUACUAGGAAAAACCUUAUCAUUUCUGUCAAAGAACAUUCAGCAUGAACUCUCAGUGUGCAUUUUGUUUUCUUGCUGUAAGAUGAAUUCCUUAAUAUUUAACCACAUGGUGGAUCAUGAAACACACUCCACUGGAGAGAAACUCAGCUCUUUAACAAACCAAUUUCCAACCCUCAUUCAUGGAAACCAUAAGGCGUUCCUUUAACUAAGGAGAAAAUCAAACAUCAGUGAAGGGACAAUGUAGGCAACCCCAGUAAACAGCCAGUCUGAGGGGGUCCAUGUUGAGUUUAGAGCUUCAGAUAUGAAAGCCACCUUGGAUACACCUGGAACUAAGUGGGAGUUGCCUACUUAAAACUCUGAGAAAUUUGAAUGCAACAGUCACAUAUUGUUUUAAGUAGUAGUAGUAGAAGGUGGGAAUCCAUUCAGGUCCAUCCACUUCCCACCUACCCAAAGGCAUACCCUUUGGUAUUGUUUUCCCAACAACCCAAGCCACUCUGGAACAGGUGUUCUGAAUUCUGUGUGAAACAUCUUUAAAUACAUAUUGCUAAGGCUCUAGAUGUCUGACUCUGUGUGGGAAAAGCUAUGCAGCCAAUUUAUAGUGCUUAGGCCAACUGUCGAUUUAUUUAAUGGGUUAGUAACACCAACCAAGACUAGGUGGUUGAUCUGUUGUUCAAUAGCCUGUACUGUCUGAAGAUGUCUGAGAGUUUUCUUUCUUAUUAAGUGAAAACAGAGCAUCAUCUCUAACCAUCUUAUUCAUCAUCCUGUAUGAAUCUUGCAUAAAACAGGCAACAAACAACAUUUUCUUUUAAAGCUUCCAGACAGUAAGUUAGUCCAACAGGGUAUGUGUUUAAAAAAGAAAAAAAAAUAGUAUGUUUUGAUCCCAACAAGUUGAUAAAUUUCAUUUAUAAAUAAUAAGUAGAUGUUUGGAGUGCAAAUCCCAUAAUCAUUGAAUCUUAGAGCUUUUACUUGACUUACUUGUAUUUUAAGAGCAGCCACUGAAUUAACCAGAGUCCUACAAGGAUCAUGCCAUUAAUUUCACAAAUAGAAAAGGCCCACUGCACCCGGU